UCUCUCUCAGGGUCACACCUGGAGAGUUUCCAGGACUCUACCAGUCUUGACUAUGAGAGGGAGAGUCAAGCAGAAGCCUGCCCAUUCCAUUUCUGGCUUGGGCAAUGGCUAGUGAGUGAAACACAGUCUGCUACAAGU